AUAAGAAACAAAAUCUUUCAAAAAAUGUGUCGCUUUAUUCAUUAAAAAAAAAAAAUUAUACAUUUUCCCAUCACAGACAAAUAUGACAAUUUUAUUACUGAUUAAAAAAAAUAUGCUUCAAUAAAUAUUGCUUAUUUUGCACAUAUCGAUUUUAUGGUAUUAUACAUCAGCUAAAAUAAGAGAUGAACCUGCUGCCUGGCCACAGAAGAAAUAGACAAAUAAAAUGACUUUACAAAAAAAAAAAAAAGCUUGUGUUC